rnacentral:rRNA from 1 species
GACAGAGGGUGCUAGCGUUGUUCGGAAUUACUGGGCGUAAAGGGCGCGUAGGCGGUCUGUUAAGUUCGGUGUGAAAUCCCCUGGCUCAACUGGGGAACUGCGCUGGAAACUGGCAGACUCGAGUACCGGAGAGGAGAGUGGAAUUCCUGGUGUAGCGGUGAAAUGCGUAGAUAUCAGGAGGAACACCGGAGGCGAAGGCAGUGUCCUGGCGAGUGACUGACGCUGAGGUGCGAAAGCCAGGGGAGCGAACGGG